AGGCAGGCUCGCUCGGCUGCACUCCACGGCCAUUGAAGUAUCUGUCUUGACUUGAAAUUUUGAUUUCUCUAUUAGGACAGGAAGAGAUUUUUAACAUGAAGGUCUUCUCAACCUCUCUCUGCUGUGGACUCCUGACUUUCUUGUCUGUAAUGAGCCUUUUAAAGUCUGUAUAUGGACGGCCACAUCUGAGCUCAGGACAUGAAUUGUUUCCAGCUAAAGAACAUGCAGCUCAGGAGAAGUUGACCCAAAAUCUUGGUUUCCAGAGGCCCUUCCACGCUGGUGAAUGUGGAUCUGCCCAGGAAAAUGGAAGAACUUAGACAGCUAAAGAAGUUGAGAGAAUGGGUUAUGGAAGCAAAGAACACUGGGCUGUCCAAUGUUUUAAACAAUUUAUCCUCUUCCCACACUAAUAAACGAGCUUGCUUUUGGAAAUACUGUGUCUGAGAUAUUUCUGAAUAUACAGAAGAAAAGAAAACCAGAAAAAUUACAUAUAUAUGUAACAUAUGUAUACACAUAAUAUACAUAUUAAAGUUUACUUCUGUUUCAAGCUUUAAGAAACUGGCCCUUUUUCUGCACAUCAUUUUUCUCACUUUGUGAACCUGGUCCUCCCUGGGUUACGGCUUACUUAAUGCUCAUUUGGUGAACAAUUGCACUGACUAAACUGUGGAAUGGAACUGUCAUCAAAAUGGCUUUGGUGAUAAAACUGGGGGGAUUGAGCUGUUGUAUGCUUCCUUGAAGUCCAUUGUCCUCUCUCAAUGUUUUGUUGUUGGCUGUCAAUAAAAUAUAUUUUAAAAGGCAUCUCAGAAAGUUAAAAUAAAUCACAUUGUUUCAACUCA